UCUGACAGCAAGCUAGGGUGGAAACUUGGAAGAACUGCUUUAAGCAAUCACCUCAGGAAGUUGCUUCAGAUUCUGUCCAUUGAAGCAAAUGUUCCUUCAAGCUCCUGAGCAGCUAUUAAUUUUACAUUGGAGGUCCACUGCGUGGACAUGGCAGUAUCAUUGCAAUAGAGUGUGUUCUGCAUGGCAUUCAGGAAAGGCUGAAGGAGCUGGGUCUCUAGCUUGGAAAAGAGAAGACUGAGGGAGUAGUGGCCACGUGCAUAAUUAUUUGCUGCAUCUUCCUUUCCAGUGAUCAGCUGUUCUGGAUGGAAAAGCUCCCGAGCUUCUCUCUCCAAAGAAUGUGGCAAAAGAGUCAUCAUCGCUAGGUUGGUCGAUGAAGGUGCCAUCUGGCUGAAUGCCAUGCUCCAG